GGCUGCAGAAUUUAUAACUGUACAAAGGUAGCAUAAUAAUUUGUUUUUUAAUUUAAAACUUGAAUGAAUGAUUAAAUGAAAUAUAAACUGUUUCAAUUAAAUAAUAAUUUAAAUUUUUAUUUAAGUAAAAAAACUUAAAUAUAUUUAAAAGACGACAAGACCCUAUAGAAUUUUAUUUAUUUAAUAAAUAUAAAAUUAAAUAAUUUAUUUUUUUUAUAAAAAAUAAAUUUAAUUGGGGUAAUUUAAAAAUUUAAAAAAUUUUUUAUAAAUUUAACAAAAAUUAUUGAUUAAAAUAUCUUAAAAUUUAAAAUAUUAAAAUUAAUUACCUUAGGGAUAACAGCAUAAUUUUUUUUAAAAGAUCUUAUU
rnacentral:rRNA from 1 species